rnacentral:rRNA from 1 species
AGCAGUCGCCGCGGGAAUACGGAGGGAGCUAGCGUUGUUCGGAAUUACUGGGCGUAAAGCGCGCGCAGGCGGUUUCUUAAGUCUGAUGUGAAAGCCCCCGGCUUAACCGGGGAGGGUCAUUGGAAACUGGGAGACUUAGAGUGCAGAGGAGGAGAGUGGAAUUCCAUGUGUAGCGGUGAAAUGCGUAGAUAUAUGGAGGAACACCGGUGGCGAAAGCGGCUCUCUGGUCUGUAACUGACGCUGAGGCUCGAAAGCGUGGGGAGCGAACAGGAUUAGAUACCCGCGUAGUCCCUGUCUCUUAUA